GAUGAACGCUGGCGGCGUGCCUAAUACAUGCAAGUCGAGCGAACAGACGAUGAGCUUGCUCCUCGGACGUUAGCGGCGGACGGGUGAGUAACACGUGUAUAACCUACCUAUAAUACUGGGAUAACUUCGGGAAACCGGAGCUAAUACCGUAUAAUAUAUUGAACCGCAUGGGUCAAUAGUGAAAGACGGUUGUGGUGGCACUUAUAGAUGGAUCCGCGCCGCAUUAGCUAGUUGUUAAGGUAACGGCUUACCAAGGCUACGAUGCGUAGCCGACCUGUGAGGGUGGUCGGCGACCUGGGAGGGUAACCAGGGUCAUGGCUCCUGAGGGAGGCAGCAGUCGGGAAUCUUACGCAAUGGUCGGAAGCAUGACGGAGUAACGCCGCGUGAGUGAUGAAGGUCUUCGGAUCGUAAAACUCUGUUUCUAGGGAAGAACAAAUGUGGAAGGAACUAAGCACGUCUUGACGGUACCUAAUCAGGAAGCCACGGCUAACUACGUG
rnacentral:rRNA from 1 species